rnacentral:lncRNA from 1 species
AAUUUUUAUGUGCAUUCAAAGAUUCACUAGCUAGUUACUAGUAAUGUCGGAAAAGAACACGAAAUGGAACCGAGCUUAAUGCUUUGCUAUCAAGUAAUUCCAAUGGAUGGUUAAAUUUGAAAUGAUCACUAAUCCUAAUUCAAGGUCGAGUUUUACAAAAGGAAACAUAUAUAAAUAUGCACAUAAGAUGCUUAAUUUAUCAGAAACCCUCCAUUGGGAAUGAGAUUACAAACCUACACAACCUAUCCCAUAUGUGUGGGAAUGAGGCCACAACCAGAGAGAGAGAGAGAAGUUGUUCUAAUUACUCUACAAGGACAGAGGAAAUGCUAGAUUAGUGCUCUUGAGAGAACUGGGUCCUCAAAACCAGCUCUUGAAAGUUGGAACAACAGUGCAUCACCAAACCCUAUAGAAAAUUUUGAUAAGAAACGAAUGUUAGAUUCUUGGAUUAACCCCAAAAGUAAGCAUAGAAAAUAAGAAAUAAGAUUAAGAACAUGGGUCACCGGCACCGCAGAAGAUUUACGUUAAGAGUUUGGUAUUGUUUAUACGAUUUCACGAGUUGCAAGGAGGGCUGUUGCUGAAUGCUAAUUCGUCUUUAUGCAUGGAGUUUGCAUUGUGUGGACUGUAGAGACACAAGGGAGUGGAACAAGAUUCACUGUUUUUCAUUCUGGGCGUU